AACCUCCCUGUGCUGGGCUUGUUUUCAGUUGCCUGCGGCUGAUUAAUAGGGACUCAGGCAGCUAAAGCAAGUCUG
rnacentral:miRNA from 11 species